AAUGCUUCUACCUUGCAGCUUAUGUUGAAUAAUGUUUUACAUCCCUUGUAAUUGUAACAAUUCUUUCUGAAAUGCAAAAUAAAAGAGGUUCCUGGUGGACCUCUGCUUCUGUUGCAAUCUGCUUCCAGAUUGAACCCACAUGUAAAAGAUAUAUUUGGAUUUGGAGUCUGCAAAAUCUUUAUUCCAUUAGAGCUCUAUAAAACAAAUACAACAAGUACAUCCCUUCUUCAUAGAUGAGAACUGAAUGUUACCUAAAAGGAAAUAAAAGGCUACAAUUCCAGAAAAACAAAUCCUAACCAAAAAAACUGAAAUCAAAAUAUAAUGAUUGAUGAGAACUCAAUCUUCGAUGGUAUGAACGUUUUGAAGCCACUGCAGAACCAAAUCUAAAAAUGCUUGUAAUAGCAAUUCUGUCGAGACAGAAGAAUUUGAUAACCUUUGCCACGAGGGCACUUGACAUGAAGGUCCCAACACUUCCCAAUAUUCUCCACUCUCACAGCUUCUUCACAAUCCAGCUCUCCAUCAUACUACUGUAAAAGAAUCUGAUAUUUACUGACAGUAGCUAAGUAAUAAAGAUGAAAAAGAAGAACAGAGAAUUAGCUAAAAAAGAAUUGGAAAUUUCAUUGAUCGACAGAAUAUUUUCAAAUAACGGCUACAAGCAAAUUUAUAUUCACUACUGAGAGCUAUUCCUUAGAUGUAGCCUCGAGAAAAAAAACAAACCCAACAAA
rnacentral:lncRNA from 1 species